AGGUGGUCUGGCUAUGACAUCUGUCACCCAUUGAUCACCAGGGCUGAUCUGGCUGGUGAGGCAGGUGAGAGGAUGACCUUCCUGAGAGUGUCCACUGUUCUUAGGUCAAGGGUGUGCAAGCAGCCGUGCUCCCCUGCUAGAACUUCCAAACAGACAGUCCAAAAGAACAGGAUUAUGGGAAACGUGAGAGAUAAAAGCCUCUGGGUUUAGGGACGUUACCUAGAGAGUUCAUGUGUCAUGACUG
rnacentral:snRNA from 1 species